ACAUGCCUACAAAAUAGCGUUAAUGCACUGGAUCGCAUUAGAACUUCACAGAUAAGCACUCUCAAUCUAUAGUAUUAUUGGGAUGGGUGAUCGUCGGGAAGUACUAGUGUUUUACAUGCC
rnacentral:rRNA from 1 species